rnacentral:lncRNA from 1 species
GUCUGAUUCUGAAUCACUGAUAGCAAAUGACGGUGUGCAUUUAAAUGAAAAAGGCACUUUAAAGUUUGCAAAUAGUAUCAGAUCCGCCUUAGGCAUCUGUAUGAGACGUGGUUUAUUUUAAUGUAUGCAUAUGUUACUCAUUACUUUGUAUUUACGGUAUGAAAAUUGUUUUUUUUUCUAAAUAUGUCGCAACCCAACACUUAUUUUAUUUCAUUUAUUGAUUAUCAUUUUCUAAUAUUUUAU